UGCCCGUUCAUCCACAGGUGGGGAUUAGUGGCAUUACUUGUGUUAGAUAUAAAGUAUUGCACUUGUCCCGGCCUGAGGAAGAAAAGAGGGUU
ensembl:miRNA Mir92-2 microRNA 92-2